GGGCAGCGUGGAUGCAAUCAGUGAGGGCCGGAGUGGGGAGGCUGGGCCUUGAGUCUCAGCCCAGCCUUGGGCCCCAGGGUGCAGGGGAGCAGCUGUCCUCUGUGGGCCUCUCCCCUGGGCCUGGCCCCUGAGAGCAGCCCACAGCCCUGAUGGAGAUGAGUCACUGGUUCUAAAAAUAAGACAGGGUCCCAAUCCCUGGAGAAGAGAGACCAGCAGCAGCUGAGUGACAGAGGAAGAAGGGAGAGGACAGUUGGAAGUCCUUAGCCACUUCCUGAGCCAUGUUCCAGGACUGAAGGAUGGGGAGCUGUGCUGGUGGAACUGGGUGGUCAUUUUGACUUUGAGGAAGAACCGGAAGUCACAUGGCCCCGGACCCAGCAUGUAAGAGACACUCACGAGAGAAGACUUGCAGAACUGCUUCAGAAAGUGCCAGGAGCAAUGGGACGAGCAUGUUCAAAGCAAAGGAGGAACAUUUUGAGAGGAAUUAAUGGCAACGUGUCCUUUAAUACAAUAAUAUUUUUAAUUUCAACACUCA